UACGGAGGAUGCGAGCGUUAUCCGGAUUUAUUGGGUUUAAAGGGUGCGUAGGCGGGCUUUUAAGUCAGCGGUAAAAAUUCGGGGCUCAACCCCGUCCGGCCGUUGAAACUGGGGGCCUUGAGUGCAGGAGAGGAGAGUGGAAUUCCAUGUGUAGCGGUGAAAUGCGUAGAUAUAUGGAGGAACACCGGUGGCGAAAGCGGCUCUCUGGCCUGUAACUGACACUGAGGCUCGAAAGCGUGGGGAGCAAACAGG
rnacentral:rRNA from 1 species